rnacentral:misc_RNA from 1 species
GCUUCUGUCAGUUCGUAUUGGAUUUUUCGCAUUGUAUUUAGCUAUGGCUCCAGCUAAAGUGGACUUAACAAAAAAGAAAGACCCCAAAGCCCAGGCUGUCAAGGCUGCCAAGGCUGUUAAGUCUGGAUCAACCUUUAAGAAGAAGUCAAGUAAGAUAAGGACAAAAGUUACUUUCCAUCGACCUAAGACAUUGAAGAAGGAUAGGAAUCCCAAGUA